rnacentral:rRNA from 1 species
AUUGAACGCUGGCGGCAUGCCUUACACAUGCAAGUCGAACGGCAGCACGGGAGCAAUCCUGGUGGCGAGUGGCGAACGGGUGAGUAAAGUAUCGGAACGUGCCCAGUCGUGGGGGAUAACGUAGCGAAAGUUACGCUAAUACAGCAUACGAUCUAUGGAUGAAAGCGGGGGAUCGCAAGACCUCGCGCGAUUGGAGCGGCCGAUAUCAGAUUAGGUAGUUGGUGGGGUAAAGGCUCACCAAGCCGACGAUCUGUAGCUGGUCUGAGAGGACGACCAGCCACACUGGAACUGAGACACGGUCCAGACUCCUACGGGAGGCAGCAGUGGGGAAUUUUGGACAAUGGGCGAAAGCCUGAUCCAGCCAUUCCGCGUGCAGGAUGAAGGCCCUCGGGUUGUAAACUGCUUUUGUACAGAACGAAAAGGUUUCUACUAAUACUAGGAGCUCAUGACGGUACUGUAAGAAUAAGCACCGGCUAACUACGUGCCAGCCGCCGCCGUAA